rnacentral:rRNA from 1 species
UACGGGAGGCAGCAGUGGGGAAUAUUGCACAAUGGGCGCAAGCCUGAUGCAGCGACGCCGCGUGAGGGAUGACGGCCUUCGGGUUGUAAACCUCUUUCAGUAGGGAAGAAGCGAGAGUGACGGUACCUGCAGAAGAAGCGCCGGCUAACUACGUGCCAGCAGCCGCGGUAAUACGUAGGGCGCAAGCGUUAUCCGGAUUUAUUGGGCGUAAAGAGCUCGUAGGCGGUUUGUCGCGUCUGCCGUGAAAGUCCGAGGCUCAACCUCGGAUCUGCGGUGGGUACGGGCAGACUAGAGUGAUGUAGGGGAGACUGGAAUUCCUGGUGUAGCGGUGAAAUGCGCAGAUAUCAGGAGGAACACCGAUGGCGAAGGCAGGUCUCUGGGCAUUUACUGACGCUGAGGAGCGAAAGCAUGGGGAGCGAACAGGAUUAGAUACCCUGGUAGUCCA